ACCCCAUUCGGCUAAACCAAGCUCCCAUCCCUCUUUUUCUUUCUUAUCAAAUCCUAAAUUCCCUCUAAAACUGUCAAUUUUCCUUCCCCAAACAACAACCAACACACUUAGACUUGAUAGAAUGAUUUUUUCAGCCUAGUAAUCUCCUCUUGGCUUCGAUUUCAACUAAGCAAAAGGAGAUCCAUGGCGUAUUUUCAAGGUACAGAGCCAACGUGGCGGGGGUAUCUGGCGCGUACGGAGGCUGCUGGUGGCGCAGCUACUGCUAGGGCUAGGGUUUGCUGCAAACAUGGUUUAGGUUUUGGGCCUUUUUGGGUUUAAGGUUUUAUUAGUUUUGGGUUUUAAAUUUGGGUUUGGGUUUGUAAUGUUUUGGGUUUUAAAUUUAGGUUAUGUAAUUUGGAUUUUGAUGAUGGACUAUUAAUUAUUUGGUUUUUUUUAUGUUUUUUAAUUGCUUAGGCUGGUUAAUAGUUUGAGCUCAAGCAAAUUUGGGUA